rnacentral:rRNA from 1 species
UAGUACGGCGAGUGACCGGGAAGAGCUCAAAUUUGAAAUCUGGCGUGCUCAGUGCGUCCGAGUUGUAAUCUAUAGAGUCGUUUUCCGUGCCGGACUGUGUCCAAGUCCCUUGGAACAGGGUAUCAAAGAGGGUGAUAAUCCCGUACUUGACACAAUGACCGGUGCUCUGUGAUACGUCUUCUACGAGUCGAGUUGUUUGGGAAUGCAGCUCAAAAUGGGUGGUGAGUUCCAUCUAAAGCUAAAUAUUGGCGAGAGACCGAUAGCGAACAAGUACCGUGAGGGAAAGAUGAAAAGCACUUUGGAAAGAGAGUUAAACAGUACGUGAAAUUGUUAAAAGGGAAACGAUUGAAGUCAGUCGUGACUGAGAGGCUCAGCCGGUUCUGCCGGUGUAUUCCCCUCAGUCGGGUCAACAUCAGUUUUGUUCGGUGGAUAAGGGCAGUUGGAAGGUGGCACCCUCGGGUGUGUUAUAGCCAGCUGUCGCAUACAUCGGAUGAGACUGAGGAAUGCAGCUCGCCUUUAUGGCCGGGGUUCGCCCACGUUCGAGCUUAGGAUGUUGACAUAAUGGCUUUAAACGACCCGUCUUGA